GAUGAACGCUGGCGGCGUGCCUAAUACAUGCAAGUAGAACGCUGAAGGAGGAGCUUGCUCUUCUGGAAGAGUUGCGAACGGGUGAGUAACGCGUAGGUAACCUGCCUCUUAGCGGGGGAUAACUAUUGGAGACGAUAGCUAAUACCGCAUAAAAGUCGACAUUGCAUGAUGUUGACUUGAAAGGUGCAACUGCAUCACUAAGAGAUGGACCUGCGUUGUAUUAGCUAGUUGGUGAGGUAACGGCUCACCAAGGCGACGAUACAUAGCCGACCUGAGAGGGUGAUCGGCCACACUGGGACUGAGACACGGCCCAGACUCCUACGGGAGGCAGCAGUAGGGAAUCUUCGGCAAUGGGGGCAACCCUGACCGAGCAACGCCGCGUGAGUGAAGAAGGUUUUCGGAUCGUAAAGCUCUGUUGUAAGAGAAGAACGAGUGUGAGAGUGGAAAGUUCACGCUGUGACGGUAUCUUACCAGAAAGGGACGGCUAACUACGUGCCAGCAGCCGCGGUAAUACGUAGGUCCCGAGCGUUAUCCGGAUUUAUUGGGCGUAAAGCGAGCGCAGGCGGUUAGAUAAGUCUGAAGUUAAAGGCUGUGGCUUAACCAUAGUACGCUUUGGAAACUGUUUAACUUGAGUGCAGAAGGGGAGAGUGGAAUUCCAUGUGUAGCGGUGAAAUGCGUAGAUAUAUGGAGGAACACCGGUGGCGAAAGCGGCUCUCUGGUCUGUAACUGACGCUGAGGCUCGAAAGCGUGGGGAGCAAACAGG
rnacentral:rRNA from 1 species